GACGAACGCUGGCGGCAGGCUUAACACAUGCAAGUCGAACGGAAAGGCCCUGCUUUUGUGGGGUGCUCGAGUGGCGAACGGGUGAGUAACCCGUGAGUAACCUGCCCUUGACUUUGGGAUAACUUCAGGAAACUGGGGCUAAUACCGGAUAGGAGCUCCCGCUGCAUGGUGGGGGUUGGAUAGUUUCGGCGGUUGGGGAUGGACUCGCGGCUUAUCCGCUUGAUGGUGGGGUAGUGGCUUACCAAGGCUUUGACGGGUAGCCGGCCUGAGAGGGUGACCGGCCACAUUGGGACUGAGAUACGGCCCAGACUCCUACGGGAGGCAGCAGUGGGGAAUAUUGCACAAUGGGCGGAAGCCUGAUGCAGCAACGCCGCGUGCGGGAUGACGGCCUUCGGGUUGUAAACCGCUUUCGCCUGUGACGAAGCGUGAGUGACGGUAAUGGGUAAAGAAGCACCGGCUAACUACGUG
rnacentral:rRNA from 1 species